rnacentral:rRNA from 1 species
GAUCCUGGCUCAGGAUGAACGCUAGCGGCAGGCUUAACACAUGCAAGUCGAGGGGCAGCAUAAUGGAUAGCAAUAUCUAUGGUGGCGACCGGCGCACGGGUGCGUAACGCGUAUGCAACCUACCUUUAACGAGGGGGAUAACACUGAGAAAUUGGUACUAACUACCCCAUAAUAUCAUAGAAGGCAUUCUUUUAUGGUUAGAAAAUUCCGAUGGUUAGAGAUGGGCAUGCGUUGUAUUAG